rnacentral:rRNA from 1 species
AAUACCGUUCCCGGGUCUUGUACACACCGCCCGUCAAGUCACCUGAAUUGUCUUCCACCCGAAGUCCGUGGCCUAACCGAAAGGAGGGAGCGGCCGAAGGUGAGGGAGUAAGGGGACU